UAUUGCACAAUGGGGGAAACCCUGAUGCAGCGACGCCGCGUGAGUGAAGAAGUAUUUCGGUAUGUAAAGCUCUAUCAGCAGGGAAGAUAAUGAAGGUACAUGACUAAGAAGCCCCCGCUAACUACCUGCCAGCAGCCGCGGUAAUACGUAGGGGGCAAGCGUUAUCCGGAUUUACUGGGUGUAAGGGGUGCGUAGGUGGCAGGGCAAGUCAGAUGUGAAAGCCCGGGGCUCAACCCCGGUACUGCAUUUGAAACUGUCCAGCUGGAGUGCAGGAGAGGUAAGCGGAAUUCCUAGUGUAGCGGUGAAAUGCGUAGAUAUUAGGAGGAACACCAGUGGCGAAGGCGGCUUACUGGACUGUAACUGACACUGGGGCACGAAAGCGUGGGGAGCA
rnacentral:rRNA from 1 species